GAUGAAGAACGUAGCGAAAUGCGAUAAGUAAUGUGAAUUGCAGAAUUCAGUGAAUCAUCGAAUCUUUGAACGCACAUUGCGCCCCCUGGUAUUCCGGGGGGCAUGCCUGUUCGAGCGUCAUUUCACCACUCAAGCCUCGCUUGGUAUUGGGCAACGCGGUCCGCCGCGUGCCUCAAAUCGACCGGCUGGGUCUUCUGUCCCCUAAGCGUUGUGGAAACUAUUCGCUAAAGGGUGUUCGGGAGGCUACGCCGUAAAACAACCCCAUUUCUAAGGUUGACCUCGGAUCAGGUAGGGAUACCCGCUGAACUUAAGCGUAUCAAUAAGCGGAGGA
rnacentral:misc_RNA from 1 species